GACUUUGAUCAUGGCUCAGGACGAACGCUGGCGGCGUGCUUAACACAUGCAAGUCGAACGGAGAACUUAUUUCGGUAAGUUCUUAGUGGCGAACGGGUGAGUAACGCGUGGGCAACCUGCCCUCCAGUUGGGGACAACAUUCCGAAAGGGAUGCUAAUACCGAAUGUGCUCCCUCCUCCGCAUGGAGGAGGGAGGAAAGAUGGCCUCUGCUUGCAAGCUAUCGCUGGAAGAUGGGCCCGCGUCUGAUUAGCUAGUUGGUGGGGUAACGGCUCACCAAGGCGAUGAUCAGUAGCCGGUCUGAGAGGAUGAACGGCCACAUUGGGACUGAGACACGGCCCAAACUCCUACGGGAGGCAGCAGUGGGGAAUCUUCCGCAAUGGACGAAAGUCUGACGGAGCAACGCCGCGUGAGUGAUGAGGGUCUUCGGAUUGUAAAACUCUGUUGUUAGGGACGAAAGCACCGUGUUCGAACAGGUCAUGGUGUUGACGGUACCUAACGAGGAAGCCACGGCUAACUACGUGCCAGCAGCCGCGGUAAUACGUAGGUGGCAAGCGUUGUCCGGAAUUAUUGGGCGUAAAGAGCAUGUAGGCGGGCUUUUAAGUCUGACGUGAAAUUGCGGGGCUUAACCCCGUAUGGCGUUGGAUACUGGAAGUCUUGAGUGCAGGAGAGGAAAGGGGAAUUCCCAGUGUAGCGGUGAAAUGCGUAGAUAUUGGGAGGAACACCAGUGGCGAAGGCGCCUUUCUGGACUGUGUCUGACGCUGAGAUGCGAAAGCCAGGGUAGCAAACGGGAUUAGAUACCCCGGUAGUCCUGGCCGUAAACGAUGGAUACUAGGUGUAGGAGGUAUCGACCCCUUCUGUGCCGGAGUUAACGCAAUAAGUAUCCCGCCUGGGGACUACGAUCGCAAGAUUGCAACUCAAAGGAAUUGACGGA
rnacentral:rRNA from 1 species